rnacentral:rRNA from 1 species
UGGGGAAUAUUGGACAAUGGGCGCAAGCCUGAUCCAGCCAUGCCGCGUGAGUGAUGAAGGCCUUAGGGUUGUAAAGCUCUUUCAGUAGGGAAGAUAAUGACGGUACCUACAGAAGAAGCCCCGGCUAACUUCGUGCCAGCAGCCGCGGUAAUACGAAGGGGGCUAGCGUUGUUCGGAUUUACUGGGCGUAAAGCGCACGUAGGCGGAUCGUUAAGUCGGGGGUGAAAUCCUGGAGCUCAACUCCAGAACUGCCUUCGAUACUGGCGAUCUUGAGUCCGGAAGAGGUGAGUGGAACUCCUAGUGUAGAGGUGGAAUUCGUAGAUAUUAGGAAGAACACCAGUGGCGAAGGCGGCUCACUGGUCCGGUACUGACGCUGAGGUGCGAAAGCGUGGGGAGCAAACAGG